CAGCAGGCUAAAGUAUUUUAGGGGUCUGAAGUGUUACUUUUAAUCCUUGAUCGGGUUUUAGCUUCCUUGUGCCUUGAUGGAAGGAAUCGAGACCUAUUGCAUAUCACACUAAUCCCAAAUCUUGUCAGCCACUCUCUGUGUUAAAAAAGCAGCAACCCACACAGACAACAUUGUAUGCCUUUCUUAAGGCCUUGUCAAUGAGGCGCAGAUUAUGUCUCUGUGGACAGGGAGCAAGGGGUUCAUGUUUUUAUUACCCGCUAGAGUUAAGGAGCCUAAGAUCAUGCAAACUAC